GAUGAACGCUAGCGGCAGGCUUAACACAUGCAAGUCGAGGGGCAGCACGAUGUAGCAAUACAUGGGUGGCGACCGGCGCACGGGUGCGUAACACGUAUGGAAUCUGCCCUUUACUGGAGGAUAGCCCGGAGAAAUCCGGAUUAAUACUCCAUAACAAGCGAGGUGGCAUCAUCUUGCUUUGAAAGCUCCGGCGGUAAAGGAUGACCAUGCGCACGAUUAGCUAGUUGGUGAGGUAACGGCUCACCAAGGCUACGAUCGUUAGGGGGCCUGAGAGGGUUAUCCCCACACUGGUACUGAGACACGGACCAGACUCCGUACGGGAGGCAGCAGUGAGGAAUAUUGCGCAAUGGAGGCAACUCUGACGCAGCCAUGCCGCGUGC
rnacentral:rRNA from 1 species